rnacentral:tRNA from 2 species
GGCAGAGUGCCGGAGUGGUUAUCGGGUAGCGCUCGAAACGCUAUGGCCUUGGCCGCGCAGGUUCGAAUCCUGUCUCUGUCG